CGGGCUCAUAACCCGAAGACCGUGGGUUCAAAUCCCACCC
rnacentral:tRNA from 1 species